rnacentral:rRNA from 1 species
GAUGAACGCUGGCGGCGUGCCUAAUACAUGCAAGUCGAGCGAACAGACGAGGAGCUUGCUCCUCUGACGUUAGCGGCGGACGGGUGAGUAACACGUGGAUAACCUACCUAUAAGACUGGGAUAACUUCGGGAAACCGGAGCUAAUACCGGAUAAUAUAUUGAACCGCAUGGUUCAAUAGUGAAAGACGGUUUUGCUGUCACUUAUAGAUGGAUCCGCGCCGCAUUAGCUAGUUGGUAAGGUAACGGCUUACCAAGGCAACGAUGCGUAGCCGACCUGAGAGGGUGAUCGGACACACUGGAACUGAGACACGGUCCAGACUCCUACGGGAGGCAGCAGUAGGGAAUCUUCCGCAAUGGGCGAAAGCCUGACGGAGCAACGUCGCGUGAGUGAUGAAGGUCUUCGGAUCGUAAAACUCUGUUAUUAGGGAAGAACAAAUGUGUAAGUAACUAUGCACGUCUUGACGGUACCUAAUCAGAAAGCCACGGCUAACUACGUG